CCUCGCAUGAGGCGAACCCGGCCCUGGGUCACCAGGCUGCUGAUGUGGCACACGGCUGUGAACAAACGCCGGAACAAACUGCCGGGGCCACGUGCCACCAACCUGCCUCCUGCCCCGCACAGAGAGCUGGGAGGAGGAAAGCCAGCAGCAAAACAAAGACAGGCGGAGAAGACGGCGUCAGAAAACACAGAGCGUGGCAGUGGACUCUUCAGCUGGACUUCACAUGGUAUCACCUUCACACAGACAUCAGUCAGGCCAGCUUCAAGGGAUAAGAAAACACAUUUCUGCUCCAGGCAUUCUCCAAAAAGGACCCGUUGGCACAAAUCUCACAGCAACAUGGGAGAAAACAGGUUAAAUCAAGUUCACAGAGUGAGCAAGACUAAAUGCCCACACUGUGGCUGGUAUCUAUGGGAAAACACUUACAGGAUGGAUGGGAACACCUGACAGCAUUUUUCUUGAGGUACCACAGAGUCAGUAUUUACAGGGCAAAGGCAUGUCCAUGUUCAGAGUUUGCACAGGACCCACCACAUCUGCAGUGCCAUCACACCAGGCCACAACAUACAACAGCCAGCAGUCAUACCCAGCGUACUCAGUGCCAGGCCCACUGACAAAGCAGGUCCCCACACCAGGCUGUGGGACGCUACCAGAACCACCCCAGGCCCAUAUAACUCAUGCCUGCAGCUGCCAGAUCACUCAGCUGCUUUGAUCACUUCUUCAAAGGAUCCCCUUGGUUCUGUUGAACGUGAUCUAACUCCCCUCUGAGCCCAAGCAGAAUGUUUUUGAGACACAAUAUCAUUUGUCCGCAUUCAGGUAGGCCUCUCCAUCCUCUCCUCUGCUGCUGAAGAUAGACUGAUGUGCAGCAACACAAACCUUGCAGGGACCACAGCCAGACCUGCUGCUACCUAAUGGGCCUCUCUCCUUUGUGCUGCUCCUGUUUGCACCUGCAGAGGUUCUUUAGAGGAUGGAGCUGCUGGGAAGCUUGCUCCCCACAGCCAGAGGCAAGGGGGGCCAGGCCUGCUCAAUAUCGAAUGCUGAGCUGUCGAUGUGCUGCAUCUUCAUUUUUCAGCAGCUGCUUCUCGAUACUGACCCUGAAGCCAAUUCCUCCUUCCCCAAGGACUCAAGGUCAAUUGGAUCUUAGGAGAGAUGGGAUGAAGGUGUUGGUCAAAGGACGGUUCAUGCCUUUAUGGGGCCCAUAUCUCAGCACCAUUCCCCUCUAAGCCCUGGCUCAGCUGCGGGACCUCUCCAUUACUGCUGCUCGGCUGACAUCAUUUAGAUGGAUGUGGUGGGACCAGUCACCCCAGAGAGCUGCCUUCCUCCUCCAUCAUUCUGAGGUGCUCAUCUAUUACAAACAUUUUCCUUCACAUCUCAGUAGCUGCUCUAACAAAAUAUCAACAUUCCUAUCAAACGCGUUACAUUUCUACCCAUUUUUAGGUACCUCUGCUUUGCACGAUUUGAUUAGAAGCCUUCAUACCCAUUAAGGCCUGAAAGAAUGAGUGCCAAUGGCCUUUUGUAGGUUAAUCCACAAGAGAUCAAGAGAGUGCAAGACAUUCUGUCUAUUCAAAUUACUCAUUUUACAGUAUAAUAGUAUGAAUAUUAAUAUUGUCCAUUGAAAAAGUGUGUUAAUUAGGAUGUUGGCAGUUUUCUGGGCCACUGCCACCCAAAGUAAGCACUCGGGGUACGUGACUAUUCAAGCAGAGGUCCCAAAUCGCUGUCAGGCUCCUCCAGCCUGCUAACGACAGCAAAGCACGCGAUUCCACCACAAGAGCCCGACGGUCAAAACAAUUAAUGAGGGAACAGCCUACAGAGGGUUAAUGUUACUCGUUUUCCUCUACCAAUUUCAGUUAUUCCCCUUCCUAGAAAAACAUUAUUUAACCAGACCAAAAAUAAUUUGCAUAGUGCACGUAUGCUAGCAGCUGGGAGGGUUUUAAGCAAACAGAACAAAUGCUUCAUUAAUAACCAAGUGCCAAGGAAUCCUGAAAAAAUUUUGCAACAGAACCCUGAAAACCAUAGUAGCUUAUUUUUCUGAUGCUUGCUUUAGAUUAAAAAUAACCACUAUACCCCUUUGAUAAAACUAGUCUGGGCAGAUCAGAGGACAGAGAUGGGUGCAUACCUAGAAGGUCACUGUAGUCUGUAUAUCCUCAUGCAGGUAAUGCCUCCACAAGCUCAGGUGGUCAUCAGUACAUCAGUAGCACGUACAUGAUCUUUAAAAGAUGCAAUAUUCCUCCCUUCCAGCUUCUGUGUCUAUUUUUACCCAAUCUUAACUGUAGUCUGCUGAUCUCAAGGUUAAUCUUCAUUUUCUGCUAGCAAAAUGAAAGGUCAGCUACGUACCAGGCACUAGUGAGGUCUCCAGCUGCCCAGGUACCUACAGACCUGAUAAACCCAGAGUCAGCAUGUGUCUUGCUGCAGAGGAAACGCACAUGGGCAACCCCAGGACACCACCAGCAGCUGCCCAAAACACCUGAGAUUUGCAAACACAAUUGUCUUCCACUACGGAAUAAACCCUAGACUUCCUGGAUGUUUCUUGUAAGAAACAUUUGCAUUGAAUAGUCCAAUUUGAAUGGAAAACCAGAGUUUUUCUUCGGUUGUGGUGAUUUCCCUAGGCAGAAGAGAAACGCCAGGUCCAAAGGACCUAACGUGCACAUGGGCCUUCCCUGCUCUGCAUCAAGGGAGGUCUUUUCCUUUUGGGAUCACUCUAAGCUGGAAAUAGGAAGCCAGCUUUCCCACAUCUGAAGCCUUUGCCAUGGCAAUAAAGGCUCAAGGCCUUCCCAUCAGAGAGACUGCUGCCAAAAUGUAUUUUCACAAACGCAUUUCUCAGCAUGGUGGGAUUGACAACACAUCCAGUAUAUCCCUCUUUGAAAUAUUAAGAAAUACUAUUUCUGACUCAUACUCAAGAACCAAGAGAUCCAGUUUCUCCUGCAAGCUUGUUGCAGGAUCUCCAGCAAAGCCUUCUGCCCCCAUCACUGCAGCAGGUAUUUGCAAACAUCUACUGAGAUGUGAGAUCUUCAUUUUCAGAAGCUCCCAGCACCCUGACCUGCAGGGCAUGUCAGCCAACGAAGGGGCCCGGCAGCACAGCUGAAGGUCGGGUCCUUUUUCUGCCUCCACUUAAACUGGGGCAUCUUAAAUUAGAGCAGACUUUGUGAGCGUGGAUGACCAGGGCCUCUGGUCUUUGGAUUCCUGGCCUGUAUUAUCAAGCAGCAGAAGACAGCAUGCAUGUACAGAUGCAUGGGGUGGAGAGAGAGGUUCAACACCAAACAAUUUAGAGUUGUUGAAAAUUGUAGGUUGGAAGCAACUACAGAAACCUCUAAAAAUUCCCCAGGUCACUAAGCACUUCAGUGCCUAAAUCUUUUCCUUGCAAGAGUUAUCAUCUAUCACCUACCAAAAGCUAAUCCUCUUUCUUCUGACUUUGCCUCUAUCUUCUUUUUUCCCCAUCCGUACAAGCACAAGUACCUUUAAUCUUAAUUUCAGAUGUACUUUCCGUGAUGUUGCAGAUGUCUUAUCUGCAGCUGACAAUAUUCACCAGGUAUUUCUCCUUAAAGGACACUGCUUGACCUUGUAACAGCUUCCAUGCCUCUAGUUCUAGACACUGAGCAUUUCUAUUUGAAUGGAUCACAAGUCAUCACUCUUCUGUAUCCAUUAUUAGCAGAGAGCCAGCUACCCAGCGAGCUGCCGCUUUGGGUUUUUUUCCUCCAAAUGCAGCAUUUCUUCUCAGGCAGAGACAUAUUAUGGCAAUUCAGACACUGACAACUGCGUAAAUCACACCCAGGCAAAAGUUAUUGAUGACCUCAUUCCAGUGAAGUAUUAUAUGAUCAGACUGCCCCACGGUAUUUUGAUCAUCUGAGAACCCUGAAACUGAAAGUCGCAAACUCCAUCUUGCUUGGGAAUCUAACAAAGGGCAUCAUCUGUGACAAAAGGCACUCAGAGCAUUUCUCUUAAAUUACCUCAUUUCACACCGGUGGCAACAAAUACUUGUUUUCCUUUAUUAAUACACUCUCCCUGCCUAUAACUGUUUUCAUUUUUCUAAUUCUGAAUGUAAAUGCUGUCACGUUAUUGAUCCCUUCUGCUAGAAAUCUUUUCUUCUGCUUCUAUUAGCUCUUGUACACAGCCUAAUUUCAGUAUGAGCAGUGCAUCCAACACAACCGCCCUUCUGGCAGACCCGUCUCCUGGGAGCUGACGUGAUUAAUAUCUCCCAUGCAACACAAAUCACAUUCUUCAGACCCAGCUUCUCCACACUGCCGCCGUUCCCUAAAUUGGUAUUCUCACAUCUUUUAUUAAAUGAUAUAAUUAGCUUAUUUCUUCUCAAGUGCCUUCUGAAAUAGGUUGUGAAUGGUCACCAAGAGGAGAACAAAAACCAACACUCGAAGAGUGGAGGCGCUCAAAGAGGCAACAAAUCUCCUUGGCUAUGCCAAAUUUCAGCUAUAGGCAAAUGCAAAAACAGCAACAACAAAAAAAAACACAAAAAAAUCUCAUGUUAGCCUUCACAGGCUGCAACCUGGGUGCACAGCAAUACCAUCACACACAGGGCAUGCCAACCUGGCAAACAAGUGAGUGGGGUGUAGUCUACAGCAAAGCUCUGCGCAAACAACUCACAAAACCCAAAUCAGCCAGACAACCUGCCUGAUGAGAAACACAUCACUUGAGAGAAAGCCUCUCCCCGGACCCCUGAUGCAUUCCUACAAGCAAAAACCUGUAAUCUGAAACUCCCAUGCCCUGCACAAUCUGGUAUGCAAGCGUAACGGCGUGCAUGGAAAUCCAUUUAAUGCCCAGGGAGAUGCACAGCAACCAGCGUGAAGGAACAACAUGCCCUGGCAGUGCUGGCUUUGCAAGGACAGAUCAGACCGUGGAUCCAACCACAGCUGCUGGUUAACUCUGGGGAUGAGGUUACUGCUACAACAUCACCAAGGCCAUCUCCAUCCCACUACAGCCUGGCAGAGCAGCUCAUCAUGCCUGAAGUGCUUCUGAGCACACCCAAGUGCCACAGCUUCUCUAUCCCAACAGAUGCUGUUCUUUGUCAAUUAAAAAAACCACUGUUCUCAGGUGACUUUUGAGGGAUGUGCUCGCUGAGCGGCUGCUGCAGGACUUCAAGUAACUGUGCAAAUGGUAGGGCUGGAUGAGGCACCUCUGCACCGUGGGUCACUACUUCAGUUUUCUUCAUUCUAAGGCAGUUCCGUGACUACAGUAAAAAUGCUUUUUCAAAAGUCCCGAACUGCAACGCUGUGUUCCAUUUCAGAAGCUCGCUCUUCUAACAUAAGAUUUCAAUUUUCUUUUGCAAACUACCCCUUGAGUUAGCCUUAUCGGCAUUCAGAUGCACAAUUCAUCUGGAACAGGCUAUUCACAGAAAUUCUGCUGAACUGGCUGUCUUUCUACUAGUUAUGUACAGAAGAAAGGCUUUGGCCUCAAUCCUGGAUCUGCUGAAUUGAAGUGCAGAAGAGAAGAUCCCCAAAGCCCAGCAACAUGAAGGCACUUCCACCCAGCACCAGCAGCACUGUCCGCUCUGGCUGUAACAAUAACUACACUAAUGAACAGAGGCUAAUGGCAAGUCCAGCUGCAUGUGCAAUUUUUAUUAAACACAAAUUGCUGCUUACAUGUGAAUUUCUUCUUCCACAAAACAAAGAUAUAUUUCCAGCCUUUCAUGUUGGCCGUAUCAGCUUCGAACUAGAGAGGCUAACAGGCUGCAAGGAAGGAGGUCGGCCGUAGACUUCUGAAUGCUCAAGUUAGGUACUUAAUGAGGCAUCAUAUUCCCAACUAAUGGUUUUGCUCAGGGACAAAUUGCAACACCAAGGAAAGUAUUAGCAUAAAGACUUAUCAGCUGAAAGACUUUUUCCAAACGGGGAUGCAAAGCACCAAAAAAGCAUAAACAGGGGAUUAAGUGCCUGCCAGACUAUGUCUCACCCCUGCCAACACAGUGCUAAGCCCACAAGCCCUGGCAGGACAGGCGAUGGUGUCUCCCCAGUAUGUCCCCUCUCUGCACUCUCUGUCACCAUAGGUCACCACUACACCAUCCCAUCCCCUUGAGGAUCCCUGAAGACACCCUCCAUUACUCGCCCAUAUGGAGGAUCCACCCUGGAGCUGACACUCCAACUGCACCGCAGUUGUUUCAAGGCAAACACAAUACUAACCUGUAAGAGAAGAAUCACACUUUUUAGCUAAUAAGGAAGCAUCCAUGAGUUUUUUUGUUGUUGUUGUUUUCUUUUAAUGUAGCAGUUGUACAGUACAAAGCCUGCUCUUGUUUGAUCUAGAUGCUAUGCAGACAAACGUAAAUUAUGUUUCUUCACACUGACCCUGUUAAUAACUAUUUCUCAAGGGAAUAGAAGAACUGUAACAAGCUAACACUAUUUGUUUAUGUGGAAUUCAAUAGCCAGACUUAUUUAAAAAAAAAAUCCCCAUCCUACACAAAAACAUCCACUGAAACGUGAUGGAAAAGGAGCGGUGUGUGGCACUGCCCAUUCCCUGCAGCAGGUGCGAAGCAUCACAUCCACCACGCUGCACUAAUGGGGCUGGUCCAGAUAAGGCGCCCAUGGAGAGCUAACAAAGCCAGCACAGCUUCUGGGGGCUGUGGGCACCUCUGAAAAAUUAACUAUGGGAAUCCAAAAUCCAAUUUUUAUCCUUUACGCAGCUCUCCCCCCUCCACAGUUCCCGAUUAUGAACAUACUGUGCUGGAUUAGCUCCCUGCCCUCUCUGCCCCCGCACACAGAGGUCACUUCAAGUAACGCUUGCUCUCAGAUUCAGUCUUAAAGUGGAUUAAAAAAAUAAUCUGCAGAAGGCUAUUCAUGUUGCAAACUCGCCUGCACGGUUUGCAAGUGCUCAGUGAAACAGCAGGGGCUGCUGUAGAAGGUGAGGAAGGAACACGGGGCUCACACUGCCCACCUGGGGUGCAGCAGCAACACACCCACCCCAGCUGCAUCACAGAGGGUCCGCCAGGGCAGGGAAGGCUGGACGACUUCUCUCAGGCCUGGCGUCAGCACAGGCACUUCCACCUGCCAAGGAAAGGCCUGAGGUUUGUUGCAGGAGAGCGCUGUGGAGGCUGAGCUGGAGCCAACGCUGCUCAACCAUGAAAUCUCCCAAUCACGCAAGUGACGUGAACCCAGCAACCCAGGAGGCUGCGACAGCCCUUCCUUCCAAACACCCACACAAGUAGAAACCCAUGCUAAGAGAAUGCUCAGCAGGUCUAACUCAGCACCUCAAUUUGUGAUCCUGCUGCAGACCUGUGGCCACAGCUGACUCUGCUGGAUCCGUCCUGCACUUCACAUUGCUUCUGCUCAGAAAAUUAAAGCAAUGCAUGAAAAAAGAACGUACCCAAUGCUCAUUCCUUAAGAGCAAAGUCAUUCAAGUACAGUGAGAGGUCUGUAUUCUGAACGCAAAAAGACAGGAACAUCUUGCAAAUCUGUGCUUUCUGGACCAAACCUUUGCCCAAAGGUUAGGUUAGGUUGUACGACACAGCCUGCACCAGUGGAGAGAAGGAAAAAGACCUAAACAGUAAAAAACAGAUUGCACCAAGCCACUGUUCUUAUGUGAAGGGAGGGGAAAGCGUUUGGGAGAAGGCUAUGUUUGCUUGGCACUUUCCAUAUCUAAGUAAUUAGCGUAAAGGGCUUCCCAGGUAAACCUAAGAACAGACUGAGGAUGUUGAGAGCCAUGCUUCUCGCUGCGGCGAAGACGAUGCUGAGCUCCAGCUGGAUGCCCUUUGGCAUCGCCUUCCUUCAGGCCCUCAGUGUCAGCUGCAAGUCAGGCUGCAUCAAAAUUUGAAAAGAUGCAAAAAGUGACAGGCGAGAAACAUCUCUGGAAAUAAGCGCUCUGGCAACCGUGAAAGCCUCAAAUGUGCAGCAUGAGCCAAUGCUCGGAUGCUGCUCCCCAUGUGCCCUUCUCUAAGCUUUCUGAAAAGACCUCUGCUGCCCUUUUAGCUGCAGCUGCCAGCUCCAGAGUUGGGAGCAACACACCACCUCCGGGCACCAACACCAAUCUGAUACUCAUUAGAUAUUAUAAACAAGUCAACAACAACAAAUCAGCACGCAUCAGCCUCUGCUUGCGGCAAGACCCUCCCCAUUCACCUCCCUAUAGGGCAUCAGAUCAACUUAUUCUAAUAGGAGAUCCUUCAGCAAUGCAGCUGAGCCUUGCAGCAAACAAACCUCACCCACUGGCCGUGGUUGUGCUGUUACAACAUCCUGCAUUACAGAGAUCAGAGCACCAAAAGCUGCAGGACAGGAAGCUGUCCCUCCUGAACAGGAGAGCAAUGUACAACCCCACGCCUGAGAAGCUGCCUAUUUUCUGCUUUUUGGAGGGUCCACCUGCACCGAACAGGUCAUACAUCCACCAGCACUGGUCCACCAUCAGGUGCCCUGUGGAUACUGGGGCAUUACUGCUGACCAGUGAACUGGGUUUCUCUACAGAAGACCCAAAAUGACAGGUUUGAGCUCCUAGACCAGUAGCUCUUGAGGGACAGAAGGGUGUACUGGAAACAGGGCUUGUUCAGGAGCUCUGCAGAGCGAUGCCUGCACGAAGCAUCCUUAAACCCCACCAGGGCAAGGAGAGGGCUCUUCCUCCUGCUGCACCCACCCAAACAGUGCUGCCAGACCGACCACCACGUCCCUGCCCUCUGCAGCACGCUGUUGGCUUUGUUUAGCAUCUCCAAAGGCAGCUGUCUUCCCCCUGUGCCACUGCAGAUAUAUUCUUGCCUUGCAAGACUGCGCAGUGUUUGCAGAAGCAGAGCACGCAGCAACGCAAGGAGCGUGCCCAGGCGUCCCUGCAGAGACACGCAGGGCAGCUCCUGCCCCCCACCUGCCCUUCCCACUGCAGGCUGCAGAGGGGGCGAGGGAAUCAAGAUUAAAAGGGAGACGAGAAAUUAAUUCGGGAACAUUUUUAAUCACCUUUUGUAAGCCGCGCUCCAUAGGGCUGAAAUGUAAAAAGCACCUUUCCCUCGCAUUAUGCAGCAGGCAGAGAAGUGAGUGUGACAUAUUGGCACGUAGGUGUGUGUGGGCUGGCUUCUUGGGGGGAGGGCGGGCUGAGGGUGCUCAGCGCAUUCAGAGAACCAAGCAGCACACCGUGUACCAGUUGCUCUGGUAACAAAGCUUUCU